rnacentral:lncRNA from 1 species
GGGGGGCUAGGAUGAAAAAUUUUGUCCUGCAUUUUUUUUUUUAGCUGUAAUCUCUGUCCUGCCUUUUUAUUUUUCACUCUGUUCGGUCCUGCAUUUUUUUUAUUCGUUUAUCCUGACUUUUUUUUACCUAAAUUGUCGUCCUGACUUUUUUUUUUUUUGCAAGUGUCUCAUCCUGCCUUUUUUUUUACUCAAAACUCCUGUCCGGUGUAUUUUUUUCAAAUUUCAUCCUAGCCCCCCAAUAAAAAUCAAAUGGUAGCUCCCUAAUAAGGUAGUAUAACUUUUUUUACUUGUUUCUUUCAACUUCACACAUAUUACAUAUGAUACAUUUUUAACUUCUGUUGAACAUGAAGUGAACUUUCAUAGGGAUGAUGCUUAUACUACAACUUAAAUAGAAUUAUCUCCCCUUGUC